UGAAAAUCAGCUGAUCAGUGCAACUAGUGGGCAGCUCUGGUUUAUAACAUUACUAUACUUGUGUUAGCAAUGGAGUACGUAGAAUCCAUCGUUGUACAUACAUAGUCCUUAGUUGCGCAGAUACCUGAUGAGCCGCAUAUGAUUCACUAUGGUAUUACUCAGAAUGUAGAUGAAAUCUUGGCACGAAAUCAAAUUAGCUAUACGGCCUUUGAAAGUUUCCAGUUGACCACUGAAGUGAAGGAUUACGAGACCAAGAAAAGCAUCUACUGAGGUGAUCAUCCCAUAUCGUUCCACGUUUCAAAGAUAAGGACCACUAGUAGAGGAGAGAUUAUCGUUGAAUAUUAAUUAAUGAUGUAUCAAUUUCGUAUAUAAACGAAUAUUUACAAAAUUUAAAAUUAUUAAUUGAUCUUACGCUGCAAAAUGUGGUCAUCGUUAGUGGAAAUAUCUUUCCCGCUGUGAUACGAAAAGGUUCGUUGGCAAAUAUCUAAAAAAUGUGGAAGAUACAGAAAAAUAUUUCCAACAAAAGCUGUAGGACAGCAAAGAGGACAGAUAACAUUUGUAUCUAUGACAGUUGGCCACAGAUGUGAAGAAUCGCGAGUCCGAGAAAGGCGUCCACCGAGGAAUAUGUUGUUCCACCUACAAACAU